CGGGAUGGGAUUGUCCGCAGACGGGGAUGAGUUAAUUAAGGCUCCAGAGAGAAGUGGUGCCACCACCUUUUCAAUGUGGGCAUGGUGGUGAAGCUGCUGACGCUGCUUACAGAUCUCCCUGCUCCUCUCCUUUGGGCUGCCCAAGGCACUGAUUCACACGGGGGCAGGUUGGCACAGAACCACCGGAGCCCAUGGAGGUCCGAUGGGUGACUUGGACUGAGCUCUGUCUCCAUGUAACCUUCUUCCCCAUCUCCCACCUCUUUUCCAGUUUAUCUCCAGCAGAUACGAAGCCAACGCCAUUCUGGUCCCACUUCCCAUGCCUCCAAUAACCAGCUACCUUCCACGUUAAUCAGAGUUAAUGCAUUUUUUCUUUUAAUAUCAAAGUUUUGUGAAUCAAGCACAAAUGUUCCUUUGCAAUGAUGAAUUUACAUUUAGCCACUCAAGGUCACUAGUGACAUCUCUGCUUUUGAAAUGGGGAAGAUGGCUACUGCAGUUAUCUUUCAUGUUAAAAUCUAUGACUUUCUUCAGUAUUCAAAGAGAAUGUGGAGAAAAGUGAAAAGGUGUGAUGCUAAAUAUGAGAGCUGUCUGCUAGAGCUGUUUUUCCCUCAAGCAGAAUUGACUAAAUCUGCACUGUUUGCUGCAAAUAAAAUUAGUGGCUAAGGCUGGCAAAAGUGGAAAUGUUGAUGGAGACGUGGGUCUUGCAGAGCUGGCAGGAAUGUGGGACUGCAUCCAGCCACGUGGACCACCCACGGCAUACACCACCUCUUCCUGCUUUGCAAGAAGCCAGGUGAGAUGACUGCUUCUGUCCCAGGGUUCAAUGCAGUUAUUCAUAUAUUUAUUAUCAGAGCCA